UCAUCACCUUGGCCUUUAUUAUAUAUUGAUCUUAACCAGCAACACUGUCAAACCUCCAUAUGUAAGAGUUUUUAAAAUUCAAAGAACUCCAACUCUUCAAGCCAUCUAAAUUGUGCUGUACCACCAUUCUUACAAGUCACCUUUUUUGAAGGCCAAAAUUUCAGAUCAUUGCAGCCCCUCAAUAGCGUCCCCAUUCUCAGAUAUUACAAAUCCACUUGACUACUCACGUGGCCGGUUGUCAAACAAUAGACCAAAAAAAUCUACAAAGAGAGUUAUGGAAAGAGGGUCAUCUUCAACAUUGAAACCAAAACGCUCACGUAGGAGAGUUGAUUUCAUUGUACCAUGGGAGUCAUCAGUGGAAACCUCAGACCAAUCACUAUCUCAAUUUGAUGCCACAAUGUUACCAGGUUUUUAGUUGUUCAUUUAGCUGCACUGAUUAAAUAUUUCGCUCAAUUUCCAUGAGAUUAAUUGUAUUCCAUUUAACCAAUUACGUAAAUCCCAUACAUGUAUAUAUUAUCAUUGUGUAUUUCACACUACAAUUGUUUUAGGCAUCCUUUCAUAGCUCUGUCAUCAAUUAUCAUGAAGUCCCAAAAGAUGUAUAUACAUGUAUAGCAAUUUUAUCAAUGUUACUAGCUAUUAUCAUGUACAUGGAUUUUAUGUUUUA